rnacentral:rRNA from 1 species
CAGGGCUUGACAUCCUACUAACGAAGUAGAGAUACAUCAGGUGCCCUUCGGGGAAAGUAGAGACAGGUGGUGCAUGGUUGUCGUCAGCUCGUGUCGUGAGAUGUUGGGUUAAGUCCCGCAACGAGCGCAACCCUUAUUGUUAGUUGCUACGCAAGAGCACUCUAGCGAGACUGCCGUUGACAAAACGGAGGAAGGUGGGGACGACGUCAAAUCAUCAUGCCCCUUAUGUCCUGGGCUACACACGUAAUACAAUGGCGGUCAACAGAGGGAUGCAAAACCGUGAGGUGGAGCGAACCCCUAAAAGCCGUCCCAGUUCAGAUCGCAGUCUGCAACCCGACUGCGUGAAGUCGGAAUCGCUAGUAAUCGCGGAUCAGCAUGCCGCGGUGAAUACGUUCCC